CCUACGGGGGGCAGCAGUGGGGAAUAUUGGGCAAUGGAGGAAACUCUGACCCAGCAACGCCGCGUGAAUGAUGAAGGUCUUCGGAUUGUAAAGUUCUUUUCUACGGGAAGAAGAAAGUGACGGUACCUUAGGAAUAAGCCUCGGCUAACUACGUGCCGGCAGCAGCGGUAAGACGUAGGAGGCGGGGGUUAUCCGAAAUGACGGGGCGUAAGGGGGGCGGAGGUGGUUUGGCAAGUUAGUAGGGUAACUCCAAGGUUCAACCUUGGAACUACUACUAAAACUGUUGGACGUGAGUGCAGGAGGGGCAACCGGAAUUCCUAGUGUAGCGGGGGAAUGCGUAGAUAUUAGGAGGAACACCAGUGGCGAAGGCGGGUUGCUAGACUGUAACUGACACUGAGGCACGAAAGCGUGGGGAGCAAACAGGAUUAGAUACCCCAGUAGUC
rnacentral:rRNA from 1 species